AUGAGAGAAUACUACUGUUAUAAAUUCCAUACACGACCAAACAUAUUCAACCCAAUAUUGCACGGCGGACGGCUUUUCCAACAGUUUGUUGUAGAUACAUAUAUCAAGAUUGAAAAUUCCAGACUGGAUUACCUGUGGCAUCAUCAAAAGGAAAUAAGGGCGGAUCUAUACCAAGACCUUGUAGACAAUAUUCAAGCUGGAGAACAAAAGGGAAAUGCAGUUGGAAAACGGGCAGUACUUGCCUCGUCAUUUAUUGGAGGGCCACGAGAUAAACUUCGCCGGUAUCAAGAUGCUAUGGCUUUAGUUAGAAAAUAUGGAAAGCCAGACAUAUUCCUCUCAAUGACCUAA
rnacentral:rRNA from 1 species